UCCUGAUUUGGCCCCUAGACUGCUCAUCACAUUUUCCUAGAUACCAGGAUACGUAGUCUGGGUCACUGCAUUAAUGUCGAAUGAUCUUUGGGCAGGGGUGACUCAUGACUAUAUCUCAGCAAGGAAACACAUCCUUAUCUCAACAGUAUUUCUGUUAUACGCAAAAGCUAUAGAGCUGUAUGCAUUGUAUCUUCCUAGUACACACACUAGACACAUUUAAUCUAGAUACUGGAGGGAGUUUUUCCAUCUCUGCAGUCACCAGGAGCACUGCCCUCAGUGGGUCGGGCAGCAACAGGACCCCAGGCCAGGUGAACACAGGUGAAGAUUGCUCAUGGGCAGCACACCUGAGGGCUGGAUUAUGGAAAGCUAACUAAGCUGGAGCUGAAGUUGCAACUACAAUGACAGUGAUGGACAUUCAUGAUUCAACUGGCAAGAAAUUCCAGUUGUAGUUUUAAUAGUGUUUGAACGAGUGCUCUUUUUUUCUUGAAGAAAAACUUAUAUCUACCAGCCUCCUGUUUCUCCACUGAUCUUCGACAGCAUAAAAACAUUGCCCUGCCAAGUCACUUCCCUGGAAAUUAGAUCUUUUAUGUAACUAGGGUGACACUGUUGUGAAGUUAAAGAACAAAUGUAAAUAUAAAAAUCAUUAAGUGACCUGAAUUUUUAAUGAGCAUUAAUAUUGUAAAAAUACUAGUGACAAACUGCUAACACAUCUGCAGACAAUGUCUUCCUCUGAAGUCAGUGAGAGUUUUGCAUGCCUUGGCUUCUUCCUGAGGUGCUAUGAUUUCUUUACAUUUAAAAGAAAUUUCAUAUUCAUAUAAUUUUAAUAAAAAAAGUUUUACUCCAAAAGCAAUUUUAGUUGCUACCAUAUUGACCUGUAAUUAAAGAUUUAUGAUCC